CAUGUAGGCGGAUUAAUGAGUUUGAAGUGAAAUCCUAUAGCUUAACUAUAGAACUGCUUUGAAAACUGUUAAUCUAGAAUGUGGGAGAGGUAGAUGGAAUUUCUGGUGUAGGGGUAAAAUCCGUAGAGAUCAGAAGGAAUACCGAUUGCGAAGGCGAUCUACUGGAACAUUAUUGACGCUGAGAUGCGAAAGCGUGGGGAGCAAACA
rnacentral:rRNA from 1 species